UUGAUGUCCGCCGUAGCGAUCGCCAUCAACACAACAACAAUUUAUCUAAAUCAACAGCGAUGAAUUUCGCAAUACGAUUUUGGAUCUGAACAAUGUACGUUCCGAUCAGCUGAUCCAAAAACACUAUCCUAGGUGUAAUUAUAGUCGGAACUCACCGGAGUUCUCAUGAUGUGGCCGGACGAAAACUGAUAUGGAGUACAUUUAAUGAAAAAAAAAAGUUGUUACAUAAUAUUUCGAUAACGGUUCCUAAUAUCCACAAAUGAAAAAUGCAU